GGCAGGAUUUGGAGUAGAAAGUGGUGGAGAGCUGGGCUUGGCACAGAUCAACCAUUAUCACGGCGACAAGCAUCAAGACCAGGCAAGUAGAUCCUUUGAUUCUCUCCAUUUUCUCCCGAUUGACCACGCAACAGGAGCGUCGAAGAAAGGAUGAUGAUCGCAAAACUGUAAGUUCCUGCGCUCCCGGGAACAAGUCAAGCUCAGCGUCGCUUAUAUGCUCCAGGAAAGCGACCAAAGUAAAAAAGGAACUACGUGAGCGAUCCAAGUUGGAUGGACCGUUUGCACAAUUAAAGAGACGCCGGUAUCUCCCUUAAGAAGCGCAAGGCCUCUCAUGCACGUCGUGAGCAAUUUUGAAUCAAAAGCUUUGGCUGUAGAAAAAGAGCCGUCGUUUUCAGUCGUGAGAGCACAAGAUUGAAGAGGAUUCUGUUCUCUCGAGGAACCCCUCAUUUCUUGUGUAGUAAAAUAAAUGAGGGGCUGCGUGGCUUCUUCCAAUGUCAAACUUAUGCCAGGCUGGGAACUUGUUUCUCAAUGUUAUCAUGCACAAACGUGUAGUAGUUUCUUA